GUACUCUCGGAAACGGCAUUGAUACAAACCAGACUACUCAUGUCUGGAGGAAUCCUUCAGAGAAUAGCAGCCCAAAAAAGCAAUUCUGGCAUCCUUUUUCUCCCAUUCAGUUCUCGGUUUCUCCUUUCAUGAUCUCAAAACGCUGCUGAAUACAGAUGAGCCAAUAGUUAGUCCAAUCCCAGACGGUCUUUUGUUCAGCCCCCACCGUAUCGACGACACAUCCUGAAUGUUAUCCAGAUUUAUGUAUGUAGGUUGGAGUCAGGCUCAUUUGGUUGGAGCAGAGGAGAGCAUCGCUCCAGCCACUCCUGAAUGGGGUGGGAGCCAGGCUGGUGUUGCCCCUGUGGCUGGUAUUGCACCCUGCAGGAGGGUUAACUUCCUGAAGAAGAAAUUCUGCCAAGUUUCUCAGAGAAAAUAAUGCAAUUCUCAUGA